UACGAAGGGGGCUAGCGUUGCUCGGAAUCACUGGGCGUAAAGGGCGCGUAGGCGGCCUGAUCAGUCGGGGGUGAAAGCCUGUGGCUCAACCACAGAAUGGCCUUCGAUACUGUCGGGCUUGAGACCGGAAGAGGUAAGUGGAACUGCGAGUGUAGAGGUGAAAUUCGUAGAUAUUCGCAAGAACACCAGUGGCGAAGGCGGCUUACUGGUCCGGAUCUGACGCUGAGGCGCGAAAGCGUGGGGAGCAAACAG
rnacentral:rRNA from 1 species